rnacentral:rRNA from 1 species
AUUGAACGCUGGCGGCAGGCCUAACACAUGCAAGUCGAGCGGAGCGGCGGACGGGUGCGGAAUGCCUAGGAAUCUGCCUGGUCGUGGGGGAUAACGUCCGGAAACGGGCGCUAAUACUGCAUCCUCUCAGAUGAGCCUAGGCCGGAUUAGCUAGUUGGGGGGGUAAAGGCCUACCAGGGCGACGAUCCGUAACUGGUCUGAGAGGAUGAGCAGCCACACUGGAACUGAGACACGGUCCAGACUCCUACGGGAGGCAGCAGUGGGGAAUAUUGGACAAUGGGCGAAAGCCUGAUCCAGCCAUGCCGCGUGUAUGAAGAAGGUCUUCGGGUUGUAAAGCACUUUAAGUUGGGAGGCGUUACCAACAGAAUAAGCACCGGCUAACUACGUGCCAGCAGCCGCGGUAAUAC